GUAUUUGGUAUUCGAUUAUGCACAAAAUUUGAAGAGGUUCCACUGACACCUUCUCCUUCAGACUAGACUUUACUUUCAUAUGAAUAUAAAGCCAAACUCACUUGGCUGCCAUGAGAGGACCUCUGCAAUAUGGCCUUUCCACUGUUCCCACUAUGAAAUGUCCAUGCAGGCUGCUGACUCUGACAUUUCUCUGGAUCGUCUGACAGUUCCUAGCCUAACCACCUGUGUCAGUAAGGAUCAUCCAGAGAUUUCCUGGCCUUUAGAGAUCUUAGAAUUAAUUUGAGGGCUAAAUCAUUAAUAUACGAAAAGACAACACCGUAAGAUGACAGACGGUAAAAGCCACCCAAGUGAUCACCAAAAAGUUAAAACUUAAUUUGGAAUAUGAAAAAGGAGAGACAGGAUGCCAGAGGACAUUUCCCUUGGAGGGAAGAACACAACAAAUCUAGAAGAGUGGACUGAGUUUCAAUAAAAAUAGAAUACUGGGUGCACCUAGUCUCGGAAUCUUUACCAAAAUAUCUCCCUUCCCCACCCCAGCAUCUGACAGCACAGGUGAAUAUAA